rnacentral:rRNA from 1 species
UACGUAGGGUGCAAGCGUUAAUCGGAAUUACUGGGCGUAAAGCGUGCGUAGACGGUAGCGUAAGUCAGAUGUGAAAGCCCCGGGCUCAACCUGGGAACUGCAUUUGAGACUGCUCUGGCUCGGGUGCGGAAGAGGGAAGCGGAAUUCCGGUGUAGCGGUGAAAUGACGUAGAUAGUCGGAAGGAACACCAGUGGCGAAAGCGGCUUC